rnacentral:rRNA from 1 species
GGGUUGUGAGGUUAAGCGACUAAGCGUACACGGUGGAUGCCCUGGCAGUCAGAGGCGAUGAAGGACGUGCUAAUCUGCGAAAAGCGCCGGCGAGGUGAUAUGAACCCUUGACCCGGCGAUGUCCGAAUGGGGAAACCCAGUGCAAUCCGUUGCACUAUCGUUAACUGAAUACAUAGGUUAACGAGGCGAACCGGGGGAACUGAAACAUCUAAGUACCCCGAGGAAAAGAAAUCAACCGAGAUUCCCCCAGUAGCGGCGAGCGAACGGGGAGCAGCCCAGAGUCUGAAUCAGCUUGUGUGUUAGUGGAAGCGUCUGGAAAGUCGCACGGUACAGGGUGAAAGUCCCGUACACGAAAACACACAGGCUGUGAACUCGAAGAGUAGGGCGGGACACGUGGUAUCCUGUCUGAAUAUGGGGGGACCAUCCUCCAAGGCUAAAUACUCCUGACUGACCGAUAGUGAACCAGUACCGUGAGGGAAAGGCGAAAAGAACCCCGGCGAGGGGAGUGAAAAAGAACCUGAAACCGUGUACGUACAAGCAGUGGGAGCACCUUCGUGGUGUGACUGCGUACCUUUUGUAUAAUGGGUCAGCGACUUAUAUUCUGUAGCAAGGUUAACCGUAUAGGGGAGCCGAAGGGAAACCGAGUCUUAACUGGGCGUUAAGUUGCAGGGUAUAGACCCGAAACCCGGUGAUCUAGCCAUGGGCAGGUUGAAGGUUGGGUAACACUAACUGGAGGACCGAACCGACUAAUGUUGAAAAAUUAGCGGAUGACCUGUGGCUGGGGGUGAAAGGCCAAUCAAACCGGGAGAUAGCUGGUUCUCCCCGAAAGCUAUUUAGGUAGCGCCUCGUGAACUCAUCUUCGGGGGUAGAGCACUGUUUCGGCUAGGGGGCCAUCCCGGCUUACCAACCCGAUGCAAACUACGAAUACCGAAGAAUGUUAUCACGGGAGACACACGGCGGGUGCUAACGUCCGUCGUGAAGAGGGAAACAACCCAGACCGCCAGCUAAGGUCCCAAAGUCAUGGUUAAGUGGGAAACGAUGUGGGAAGGCCCAGACAGCCAGGAUGUUGGCUUAGAAGCAGCCAUCAUUUAAAGAAAGCGUAAUAGCUCACUGGUCGAGUCGGCCUGCGCGGAAGAUGUAACGGGGCUAAACCAUGCACCGAAGCUGCGGCAGCGACGCUUAUGCGUUGUUGGGUAGGGGAGCGUUCUGUAAGCCGUUGAAGGUGGCCUGUGAGGGUUGCUGGAGGUAUCAGAAGUGCGAAUGCUGACAUAAGUAACGAUAAAGCGGGUGAAAAGCCCGCUCGCCGGAAGACCAAGGGUUCCUGUCCAACGUUAAUCGGGGCAGGGUGAGUCGACCCCUAAGGCGAGGCCGAAAGGCGUAGUCGAUGGGAAACAGGUUAAUAUUCCUGUACUUGGUGUUACUGCGAAGGGGGGACGGAGAAGGCUAUGUUAGCCGGGCGACGGUUGUCCCGGUUUAAGCAUGUAGGCGGAGGUUCCAGGUAAAUCCGGUACCUUUUAACGCUGAGGUGUGAUGACGAGGCACUACGGUGCUGAAGUAACAAAUGCCCUGCUUCCAGGAAAAGCCUCUAAGCAUCAGGUAACACGAAAUCGUACCCCAAACCGACACAGGUGGUCAGGUAGAGAAUACCAAGGCGCUUGAGAGAACUCGGGUGAAGGAACUAGGCAAAAUGGUGCCGUAACUUCGGGAGAAGGCACGCUGAUAUGUAGGUGAAGCCCCUGCGGGUGGAGCUGAAAUCAGUCGAAGAUACCAGCUGGCUGCAACUGUUUAUUAAAAACACAGCACUGUGCAAACACGAAAGUGGACGUAUACGGUGUGACGCCUGCCCGGUGCCGGAAGGUUAAUUGAUGGGGUUAGCGGUAACGCGAAGCUCUUGAUCGAAGCCCCGGUAAACGGCGGCCGUAACUAUAACGGUCCUAAGGUAGCGAAAUUCCUUGUCGGGUAAGUUCCGACCUGCACGAAUGGCGUAAUGAUGGCCAGGCUGUCUCCACCCGAGACUCAGUGAAAUUGAACUCGCUGUGAAGAUGCAGUGUACCCGCGGCAAGACGGAAAGACCCCGUGAACCUUUACUAUAGCUUGACACUGAACACUGGUCCUUGAUGUGUAGGAUAGGUGGGAGGCUUUGAAGCGUGGACGCCAGUCUGCGUGGAGCCNNCCGGGUUGCGGACAGUGUCUGGUGGGUAGUUUGACUGGGGCGGUCUCCUCCCAAAGAGUAACGGAGGAGCACGAAGGUUAGCUAAUCCUGGUCGGACAUCAGGAGGUUAGUGCAAUGGCAUAAGCUAGCUUGACUGCGAGAGUGACGGCUCGAGCAGGUGCGAAAGCAGGUCAUAGUGAUCCGGUGGUUCUGAAUGGAAGGGCCAUCGCUCAACGGAUAAAAGGUACUCCGGGGAUAACAGGCUGAUACCGCCCAAGAGUUCAUAUCGACGGCGGUGUUUGGCACCUCGAUGUCGGCUCAUCACAUCCUGGGGCUGAAGUAGGUCCCAAGGGUAUGGCUGUUCGCCAUUUAAAGUGGUACGCGAGCUGGGUUUAGAACGUCGUGAGACAGUUCGGUCCCUAUCUGCCGUGGGCGCUGGAGAAUUGAGGGGGGCUGCUCCUAGUACGAGAGGACCGGAGUGGACGCAUCACUGGUGUUCGGGUUGUCAUGCCAAUGGCACUGCCCGGUAGCUAAAUGCGGAAGAGAUAAGUGCUGAAAGCAUCUAAGCACGAAACUUGCCCCGAGAUGAGUUCUCCCUGAGACUU